rnacentral:rRNA from 1 species
UACGAAGGGGGCUAGCGCUGUUCGGAAUUACUGGGCGUAAAGGGCGCGUAGGCGGUGCUGUAAGUCAGGCGUGAAAUCCCCGGGCUCAACCUGGGAAUUGCGCAUGAUACUGCGGCGCUGGAAUGCGGGAGAGGAUGGCGGAAUUCCCAGUGUAGAGGUGAAAUUCGUAGAUAUUGGGAAGAACACCGGUGGCGAAGGCGGCCAUCUGGCCCGUGAUUGACGCUGAGGCGCGAAAGCGUGGGGAGCAAACAGG